rnacentral:rRNA from 1 species
GACGAACGCUGGCGGCGUGCUUAACACAUGCAAGUCGAACGGAAGGCCCUGCUUUUGUGGGGUGCUCGAGUGGCGAACGGGUGAGUAACACGUGAGUAACCUGCCCUUGACUUUGGGAUAACUUCAGGAAACUGGGGCUAAUACCGGAUAGGAGCUCCUGCUGCAUGGUUGGGGUUGGAAAGUUUCGGCGGUUGGGGAUGGACUCGCGGCUUAUCAGCUUGUUGGUGGGGUAGUGGCUUACCAAGGCUUUGACGGGUAGCCGGCCUGAGAGGGUGACCGGCCACAUUGGGACUGAGAUACGGCCCAGACUCCUACGGGAGGCAGCAGUGGGGAAUAUUGCACAAUGGGCGGAAGCCUGAUGCAGCAACGCCGCGUGCGGGAUGACGGCCUUCGGGUUGUAAACCGCUUUCGCCUGUGACGAAGCGUGAGUGACGGUAAUGGGUAAAGAAGCACCGGCUAACUACGUG